UACGUAGGGGGCAAGCGUUGUCCGGAUUUAUUGGGCGUAAAGAGCUCGUAGGUGGUUCGGUAAGUCGGAUGUGAAAUCUCCAGGCUCAACCUGGAGGGGUCAUUCGAUACUGCCGUGACUAGAGUUCGGUAGGGGAGUGUGGAAUUCCUGGUGGAGCGGUGAAAUGCGCAGAUAUCAGGAGGAACACCGGUGGCGAAGGCGGGUCUCUGGGCCGAUAUUGACGCUGGAGGAGCGAAAGCGUGGGGAGCGAACAGG
rnacentral:rRNA from 1 species